UGUUGGUUUAUGCCUAAAACCUAACAGUCACUCAUUGGAAAUAAUGUUAGGCCAAAUGAUUCUAGAUAACUAACAAAGAUCUUUCCAGUCUUUACAUUUGGAGGGGGUUUGCUGGUUGAUAGGUUGCACUGCUGGGGAUCUAACCUAGGGUCUCAUGAGGCAAGUGCUCUACCUCUGAGCUGUACCCCCUGCCCUGUUUGUUUCUUAACUACUUAAUUGGUAUGAUUAUGAAAUGGAUUCUAAUCUUAGUAAUCUUUGGACUUUGCAAGAGAUUAAAAGGUACAAAAGCAAAAGGUGAGUCCUUUUAAUUUUUAACACAUUUUCCACAUCCCUGUAUUCUUCCUGGUACUGUGCUUUUAAAUUUUUAUUUAUUUAUGAUUUUGCUUCAUAAGAGAUUCUGUUUUUUUAAAACUCCCCAGUGUUGAGAAGUAGGCAUAUUAAAUAAAAGUACCUCGAGCUGGGGAUGUGGUUCAGUGGUAAGAGUGCUUGCCUAGCAUGUGCAGGGUCAUUGGUUCAAUCCCCAGCACCACCAAAAAAAAAAAAAAAUUGGUAGUCUGAUAAUAUGCUUUAGUUUGCUUUUCUUAAAUCUACAUUGAGAUGAGAUUUAAUGCCACAGUCUGUCAUAUUGUGCUCUUUUGGACAUUGAAGUUGCCUUGACGAAUUUUUGAAACUGUGGGGUAGUAGGCUGUGAUUUGUGAAUGAGUUUGGAAGAAACAUUAUUAAUGUUACAAUGCUUGAUUGACUUUGAAAGGUUGUGCUGUAUCAUAAGGAACACAUUUAAAUAAAACAAGGUUUUAAAUUUAGUAAUUUAAAAAUAAAUAAAUAAAUAAAAUAAAAUC
rnacentral:lncRNA from 1 species